UACGUAGGGUGCAAGCGUUGUCCGGAAUUAUUGGGCGUAAAGAGCUCGUAGGCGGUUUGUCGCGUCGAAUGUGAAAACCCGGGGCUCAACCCCGGGCCUGCAUUCGAUACGGGCAGACUAGAGUUCGGUAGGGGAGUCUGGAAUUCCUGGUGUAGCGGUGGAAUGCGCAGAUAUCAGGAGGAACACCGGUGGCGAAGGCGGGUCUCUGGGCAGUAACUGACGCUGAGAAGCGAAAGCGUGGGGAGCGAUCCGG
rnacentral:rRNA from 1 species